rnacentral:lncRNA from 1 species
ACAUAAGAGUCUCCCUUUCUCUAUUAAGGCUUCGUUUGGGAAUGCGUGGAGAUUGCGUUACGUACGGCGAGAAACGACGAUAGUAAAAUACCAUGUUUAUUUUCGUACAUAAUAUUGCGUUCCGCAUAUCGCGAUAAGUCAGUUAUGAUAUAUUUUCUGUGGUCCUACUGGAGAACACAGAAACAUGCGAUGAGUCAGUUAUGAUAUAUUUUCUAUGGUCCUACUGGAGAACGCAGAAACAUAUCCCUGUAUUUUAUUUAAUAACGUUAGAUAGAUCUCAAUACCAAAUAAAGCCUAAAUGAAAAUGAGAACCACAGUUGAGAGAUUCUCAAAAACAUAAUUUUGUCAAAUUGAUUU